rnacentral:lncRNA from 1 species
UACCCAAUUUGAAAUUGGUGAGAUGUUCCUUGGGCUGGUCUGAGGACCCGAGGUCGUAGGUGGAUCUCCUCCCGGACUGAGGGUGAGGACAGGGGGCUGGUCUUCUGAAGGAGUCCCCUGUCUUGGGUUUCAGCACCAAAUGUUACAUGCGUCUGUCUUCUCAGGAGGCUGAGGCACGAGAAUCACUUGAACUCAGGAAGUGGAGGUUGCAGUUAGCUGAGAUCAUGCCAUUGCACUCUGGCCUGGGCAACACAGCAAGACUCUGUCUCAAAAAAAAAAAAGAUAUAUUCACUUUAUAUCAGUAUUUAAGUAUUGUUAAUUUUACAUCAUAGUAUUUAAGUUAUGAAAUAUCAGGAGACAAGUAAAUAUCAUUCAAGGACUUUACCCCAUCUUCUGGGUAAGGGAUUAGUUUUUUAUUGUAUGCAGGAUAAUUGUAUCAGGUUAGGUGGGUCUAUUACCUUGUUAUUGUCUUUACUUGGAGAUUAAGUUCAGUUUACAGAGAGGUGUGUAGGUGUGUAGAUUAAGUACAGACAAGAGGUGGACUUGUCAUCAUUAAUUUUAGGUGUCAUGUUGACUGGAUUGAGGAAUACCUGGAGAAGUGGUAAAGCAUUAUUUCUGGGUAUGUCAGGGUGUUUCCAGAGAUUGGAGUAAUCAACCUGCCACAAGGUAGCUGGCUGAUCCACCGAAGCCAAUGAUACUGUAUCAAGGGCUCAGUGUGGGUCUUGGCUGCUGGCAGAUUGAGCCCUCAGAGGUGACUGUAGCCAGGUCAGCUUUGCUAAGUGGAGGUCUAUGUUGCUGAACUCAUACAUGACUUCCAUCUCUGCCACGCUGGGCAAUUUAUUCUUGAGUCCAUUGGAUGAUGGUAGGGGUAGCUGGGGAAAGAGGGUGACUAGUAUCCACAGAAUGGGUCAUCCCAUCUCCUUGAUUAUUAGUCCUCCUCUGCUGAGAUCACACUUUGGUGAGCAUUGGCAAAGGACAUAAUCAUCUUCACAUCUUUUUCCCACUCAGGUCCAUCCACAUAUCUCUUCCCCAAAUUUCUUUGUCACCAAUUUUCCAAUUAUGUUUCUUUCAAUUCUCUGACCAUCUGGCCAAACCAUUGGUUACAGUUCAUGAAUUGGUAUAUAAUUCCACAUCUGGCCAUUUCUCCAUCCAAGCAAAGUGUACAACGUGGUGCACUGUCCAAAGUUCUACACACUGAGAUUUCUCUUCACCGCUAUCCUCUAAAGAUGUCCCACAAAGGGAUGGUAUUGCUGAAACUGUCCACUUUUGGAUGGUGCCUGCAUAUUAUGCAGAACCACCUGUAAACUGGGACCUCUAUCAAUUGAUCAUAGGAUACUCCCCAUGGGGCCAUUGGUGCAGGCUGAGGCAGUGUAGUUGGAACCAGGGGCAUUUGGGUCACUUUGUGUAACUUACUUGUGCUUCAGAACCUGCUUGGGCCCAGUUAUGUGUAUAUCACUUCCAUUUGAUGAUAGAGGGCUGCUGUGUAUGCCCAACGUUAUGGCUUGGUGGGUCAGUUAACACCUAGUUAAUGAUGGUCAGCUCAGGUUGCAUAGUUACUUGGUGGCCCAUGGUCAAAUGUUCAGUUUCUACUAAGGCCUAGUAGCAGGCCAAGACUGCCUCUCAAAAGAAGGGUCAUUAUUUGUGGAUGAUGGCAAGGCCUUGCUCCCAAAAUCCUAAGGGCCUUUGCUGCAAUUUAUCUAUGGGGACCAAUGAAAGGCUUCAAACAGCAUCCUUAUCUGCCACUGACCCCUCCAGCACCAUUGGAUCUGCUGGGUCAUAUGGCCCAAAUGGCAGAGUAGCUUGCACAGCAGCCUGGACCUGUUGCCUCUGCCUUAUCCUGUUCUGGGCCCCAUUCAAAACUAGCAGCUUUCCAGGUCACUUGGUAGAUGGGCUAGAGUAACACACCAAAAGGAGGAACACGUUGCCUUCAAAAUCCAAAGAGGCCUACUAGGUAUGGUGCCUCUUUCUUGGUUGUAGGAGGGGCCAGAUGGAACACCUUAUUCAUCACCUUGGAAGGGAUAUCUCAACAUGCCGCACACUGCUGGACCCAUAGAAAUUUCAUGGAGCUAGAAGGCCCUGAAGUUUGGUUGGAUUUAUUUUCCACCCUCUGACACACAAAAUGCCUCACCAGUAAGUCCAGAGUGCUUGCUACUUCAUGCUCACUAGGUCCAAUCAGCAUAAUAUAAUGGGCCAGAAUGAUAUCUUGUGGAUGGGAAAGGUGAUCAAGAUCCCAGUGAACUAAAUUGUGACAUAGAGAUGGAUAGUUGAUAUAAUUCUGAGGUAGGACAGUAAAGGUGUAUUGCUGACCUUGCCAGAUGAAAGCAAACUGCUUCUGGUGGGCCUUAUGGACAGGGUUGGAGAAAAAGCCAUUCUCCACAUCAACAGCUAUAUACCAGGUACCAGGAGUUGUGUUAAUUUGCUUAAACAAUGAAACCACAUCUCGUAUAGCAGCUGCAAUUGGAGUCAUCACUGGGUUAAAACUACAAUAAUUCACUGUCAUUCUCCAGAGUCCAUUUGUCUUCUGUCUUCUGCACAGACCAGAUAGAAAAGUUGAAUGGGGAUGUGGUAGGAAUCUCCACCCCUGCAUCUUUCAUGUCCUUGAUGGUGGCACUAAUCUCUGCAAUCCCUUCAGGGACGCAAUCAAUGGAUUUUGAUUUACUAUUUUCCUAGGUAGGGGCAGCUCUAAUGGCUUUGAUUUGGCCUUUCUCACCAUAAUAGCCCUCAUUCCACAGGUUAAGGAAUAUGGGGAUUCUGCCAGCUGGCAAGAACGUCUGUUCCAAUCAUACAUUCUGGAACUGAGGAAAUAACCACAUGAUGGGUUCACAGACCCACCAGACCUAUUGUGAGUCAGACCUGAGCCAAAGCUCCAUUGCUAACCUAACCUCUAUAAGCCCUUGCUGUGACUUGUGGGCCGCAGUGACUUUUUGGGUCUCCUGGAAUCAAUGUCAAUUCAGAGGCAGUGUUCAGUAGUCCUGAAAGAUCUGUACUUCCUUUUCCCCAGUGCACAGUUAUG